UACGGGGGGGAGCAAGCGUUGUUCGGAUUUACUGGGCGUAAAGGGCGGGUAGGCGGCCACCGCAAGUCAGUUGUGAAAUCUCUGGGCUUAACCCAGAAAGGUCAACUGAUACUGCGGGGCUAGAGUGCAGAAGGGGCAACUGGAAUUCUCGGUGUAGCGGUGAAAUGCGUAGAUAUCGGGAGGAACACCUAUGGCGAAGGCAGCUUGCUGGGACGGUACUGACGCUGAGACGCGAAAAGCGUGGGGAGCAAACAGG
rnacentral:rRNA from 1 species